CUUUCGAUUAUGGAGCCAACUACCACGACAAAACCUUCCCAGAGAUCCAUCUAUUACUAAUCUUGUUAGGAGUCCCCUUUGGGUCAGACAUCAGAAUAUUAGCAUGACAACUACAGCGAAGAUCACCAACUGAUCACUUUCUAGCCAUUUGAAUUGCUUAUGCGAUCCCCCAUCCGCGCGAAAGCUUCGAGUAUGGAUCUCCGCGCAGAGCAGAACAACCUUACCGCUAUGUGUAUGAGACAGAACCGCUUUACGGCUGGCUAGAGAAUAGUUUGUUUCAUUCUCUAUUGUCACUAGCUCAUGCGCUGUUUGGGCGCAACCCAGUUACGGUCGGGACCGGCCCCUCCGCCCCAUAUAUGGAUUACUUCAACGCAUGCGAAUGAUCAUUUACUGAUUGGAACAGUCUUUGACGCGAACAGAGAAGACCCUUGUCGCACGAUGAUACAACACGUCCAGGAAUACGCGCUGAGGUGCUUAAUCACUCUAAAUAUCUGCCUUUCUUGUAACCAGUUCAUUUCACCAUAAACGAGGUGCUAGGACCUGCACGGCCUGACGUCACAACGCCCUUUCAGGCAUUUCUUCCUCAACAACGGCAUGCUAAAGAGCUUACUCUGCUUUACCAAAACGUCGCCUUAUACUUGAUUUGGUUCUGAAGCUAACGAAACUUGGGGCAAUAAUUUUUCAACGCUUGAACCAACGCAGACCCAAAGUGAUAUUCUCUUAUUCUGACGUGCGUUCACACAACAUAUACUGCUGCCCACCAGGCAGCUAGCCGACGUCGUUUACGUUUUGAGACGUCUUGUGUUUCUUAGCCCUCUCUUAGCUUAGAGACACGCGCCGAAUUCGCGGCUACAACCUCCAUACAGUCUACUGCUUUAUCAUCUUGAGCUAUGCUGAUCGUAUUCGCUGAAUCACGCAUCGGAAGUAAAUGUCUUUCGCUGUGCUCAUGGGGACGGCCCUGCUAUGCGACCCAAGCAAUUGUUUUCUAGCCCAAUUGUAGCCCCGUACUAAAUCGUGUCUAGUGGGUAUUGCAAAAUUUGUCGGGACGGCUUCACAGGAACGACGACGAGGUCUAAAGAACGUGCACGCAUGAAACUUGGUUGCUAUCGCUCCAGAUUUAAUAAUAGUAACUAAGAAAUUGGUUAACGACCCUGUGUCGUUAUGUGAGCAUAAUUCUUGCGUAAUAUCGUACGACAAAACCUAAGUGCCUUAAGGAGUGAACGUGCAGUACCAUGUAUGUUUGAAUAAAAGUAUACAUUGUCUUUGAACUAUCCAAAAUCGGCUAGUUCGAAAGAUAUCGAACUCUCGAAUCAGGUACAAGGUCAAAUUUUCCACAGGCCCAUAACUUUCGAUAGAGUUCGGGGAUAGUUUACCUGUGGCUGUCACACUCAUCAUAGUCGACUUUGCAUGUAUGAGCCUGAUACCUAAAGGCAGCAGCGUGUUUGUGUAUUUCUUGCAUAUGAAGGUACCGACAGAAAGAGCGUUCAGCUGCGCCAGAGCGUCGAAGAUAGGCGAGGUUCACGCCAUCACUCAGCUCGAGGCGCGAACGAGCUUGUACAAAAACUUCGUCAACAGAUUCAAUAAGAACGUGUUCCUCGCAACGACAGCUAGAUAGACGUGAGAGAACGACUGUUAUCGUUAAUAAAGACGAUGGAGAAAAUUCUUACUGUGGCAUGCUAACG